rnacentral:rRNA from 1 species
AUACAGAGGGUGCAAGCGUUAAUCGGAUUUACUGGGCGUAAAGCGCGCGUAGGUGGCUAAUUAAGUCAAAUGUGAAAUCCCCGAGCUUAACUUGGGAAUUGCAUUCGAUACUGGUUAGCUAGAGUAUGGGAGAGGAUGGUAGAAUUCCAGGUGUAGCGGUGAAAUGCGUAGAGAUCUGGAGGAAUACCGAGGGCGAAGGCAGCCAUCUGGCCUAAUACUGACACUGAGGUGCGAAAGCAUGGGGAGCAAACAGGAUUCGAUACCCUGGUGGUCCAUGCCUUAAACGAUGUCUACUAGCCGUUGGGGCCCUUGAGGCUUUAGUGGCGCAGCUAACGCGAUAAGUAGACCGCCUGGGGAGUACGUUCGCAAGACUAAAACUCAAAUGAAUUGGCGGGG